UGGCUGCAUAUAGCGGAACCAUAACCGCUUAAGUGAUGCGUGUGCCACAGAAGCGCAGGCGACUUAUGCGCCGUGCUCAUUAGGGCGGUGAGCCAAUCAUAUAGAAGAGGUGCAACCUCGUAAAAAAAGCGUACUAUAUGGUUUGAGACGUGCAACACAUUCGGGUAAACAAAUUUUGGGGGAGAGCCGUUUGCGAAGUCGCCGCAGGCGGCUUUU
rnacentral:sRNA from 1 species